rnacentral:rRNA from 1 species
CGGGCGAGUAACACGUGGAUAACCUACCUAUAAGACUGGGAUAACUUCGGGAAACCGGAGCUAAUACCGGAUAAUAUAUUGAACCGCAUGGUUCAAUAGUGAAAGACGGUUUUGCUGUCACUUAUAGAUGGAUCCGCGCUGCAUUAGCUAGUUGGUAAGGUAACGGCUUACCAAGGCAACGAUGCGUAGCCGACCUGAGAGGGUGAUCGGCCACACUGGAACUGAGACACGGUCCAGACUCCUACGGGAAGCAGCAGCC